AAAAAAAAAAAAAAAAAAGAAAUCCAGGGGAACGAGGGUUUAGGAGGGGGAGUGGUGACGGAGAAGAAAUGAACGCUAAAGAAGGUGAAUGAACUUGUAUAACUUCAUAAAUGGUUCCUAAUUGUUGUAUUUUUCUUUUCUUUUAUUAAUAAAAAACUAGCCCUAUGCGCUUUCUAGUGGAUUGCAAAAAAAAAAAAGAGGGUUUAAGAGGGUGAGUGGUGACGGAGAAGAAAUGAACGCUAAAGAAGGUGAAUGAACUUGUAUAACUUCAUAAAUGGUUCCCCGGCAAGAAAUGAGGGCUGAUCGACCACACCAAUGUCAAUGUUUCACGUCUGGAAUUGAUGGUCCAUUCUAUAAUUCUGGCUUUCCAAUGGCAAUCACCCUAACAACGCCCUCCCAUCGAUCACGCCAUCCCAGCUGAGAGUAGAACAUGUUUGAUACCUCAGAUCUUUUCUCUUAUUGAUACCAAAGAAGAAAAGAUGCUAGGUGGAGUUACCUAAUACUUGUGUUGCUGAGAGGUAAAAUAGUCGAGAUGUGUGACAAAUUAUCAUUUUAAAACAAGGAACCCCAAAAACAAAGAGGCAGAAGUUUCCCCUCUUGAUCCAAAGAGUAAUUCACAAGUAUAUAGG
rnacentral:lncRNA from 1 species